rnacentral:rRNA from 1 species
UACGUAGGGGGCGAGCGUUGUCCGGAUUCAUUGGGCGUAAAGCGCUCGCAGGCGGCCGGCCGCGUCGCGCGUGAAGGCCCCCGGCUCAACCGGGGGUGGUCGCGCGAUACGGGUCGGCUGGAGGUAGGUAGGGGGACGCGGAAUUCCCGGUGUAGUGGUGGAAUGCGUAGAGAUCGGGAGGAACACCGGCGGCGAAGGCGGCGUCCUGGACCUGGCCUGACGCUCAGGAGCGAAAGCGUGGGGAGCGAUCCGG